rnacentral:rRNA from 1 species
UACGUAGGGGGCGAGCGUUGUCCGGAAUUAUUGGGCGUAAAGAGCGUGUAGGCGGUUCGGUAAGUCUGUCGUGAAAACCUGGGGCUCAACCCCAGGCGUGCGGUGGAUACUGCCGGGCUAGAGGAUGGUAGAGGCGAGUGGAAUUCCCGGUGUAGCGGUGAAAUGCGCAGAUAUCGGGAGGAACACCAGUGGCGAAGGCGGCUCACUGGACCGGUACUGACGCUGAUGCGCGAAAGCGUGGGGAGCAAACGGG